rnacentral:antisense_RNA from 1 species
CUUCACGGAGCCAAGGAGCAGCGGACGCUCCACGUCACGGUCACGGCCGUAGGUGGCCAGCAGCGCCUGGGCCUC